rnacentral:rRNA from 1 species
CCUACGGGAGGCUGCAGUGGGGAAUAUUGGACAAUGGGCGAAAGCCUGAUCCAGCCAUGCCGCGUGUGUGAAGAAGGCCUUCGGGUUGUAAAGCACUUUCAGUGGGGAAGAAAGCCUUGGGGCUAAUACCCUCGAGGAAGGACAUCACCCACAGAAGAAGCACCGGCUAACUCCGUGCCAGCAGCCGCGGUAAUACGGAGGGUGCGAGCGUUAAUCGGAAUUACUGGGCGUAAAGCGCGCGUAGGCGGUUUGAUAAGCCGGUUGUGAAAGCCCCGGGCUCAACCUGGGAACGGCAUCCGGAACUGUCAGGCUAGAGUGCAGGAGAGGAAGGUAGAAUUCCCGGUGUAGCGGUGAAAUGCGUAGAGAUCGGGAGGAAUACCAGUGGCGAAGGCGGCCUUCUGGACUGACACUGACGCUGAGGUGCGAAAGCGUGGGUAGCAAACAGGAUUAGAUACCCCGGUAGUC